AACAAGUGUGCCUUACAAUCUCUGAUGUUAAACAUUAUCUUUUGCGUAUACUUAUGCAGUUUGAGGAGCAGAAAGAACAAGUCAUUGUUGAGCAGGUUUUACGUUUUGUUUUCCUUGACUCGAAACGCCCUACUGUUCAAAAUUUGUAGCUGAAAAUCUCAGCAGUAGAAACUGAGAAUAAAGAUAAGACGGAGAAACUACAAGUACGUAGAGAUAUAGAAGAAACUGGAACAAAUAGAUGGUUUACUGAAGGACGGUGAAACACAUGAGCAGCAUGUAGAUUUGAUGGAUAACUAAGUCAGCCAGAUUCAUAGCACACUAGAGGAAAACCAUAUUUUACAUA